CCGGAUGUACUAGGCCAUGCGAGUCAUUGUAGCAUACAAGGCAUACGGCUCAGUAACGCGUAGUCAACCUAACCUAUGGACGGGAAUAACCUCGGGAAACUGAGAAUAAUGCCCGAUAGAACACUGUACCUGGAAUGGUUUGUGUUCCAAAUGAUUUAUCGCCAUAGGAUGGGACUGCGGCCUAUCAGUUUGUUGGUGAGGUAAUGGCCCACCAAGACUAUUACAGGUACGGGCUCUGAGAGGAGUAGCCCGGAGAUGGGUACUGAGACACGGACCCAGGCCCUAUGGGGCGCAGCAGGCGAGAAAACUUUGCAAUGUGCGAAAGCACGACAAGGUUAAUCCGAGUGAUUUGUGCUAAACGAAUCUUUUGUUAGUCCUAGAAACACUAACGAAUAAGGGGUGGGCAAGUUCUGGUGUCAGCCGCCGCGGUAAAACCAGCACCUCAAGUGGUCAGGAUGAUUAUUGGGCCUAAAGCAUCCGUAGCCGGCUCUGUAAGUUUUCGGUUAAAUCUGUACGCUUAACGUACAGGCUGCCGGGAAUACUGCAGAGCUAGGGAGUGGGAGAGGUAGACGGUACUCGGUAGGAAGUGGUAAAAUGCUUUGAUCUAUCGAUGACCACCUGUGGCGAAGCGGUCUACCAGAACACGUCCGACGGUGAGGGAUGAAAGCUGGGGGGAGCAACCGGGAUUAGAUACCCCGGGUUAGUCCAGCUGUAACUAUGCAACUCAGUGAAUGCAUGCCUGGUAUCAUGCAGUGCUGCCAAGGA
rnacentral:rRNA from 1 species